rnacentral:lncRNA from 1 species
AUUUGGUACGAAAAUUGACCAAGAGGAGUUGAAAAUCAACACAAGUGACAUUCAAAGGGAAGUUAAUGGCGUGGGGACUGUUUGGAAUCCUCAUCAAGGGCUGAGUUUAAUUACUUGGCUAUUUUAAGCAUUUUCAUCAAUUAAGACAAAUAAAAUUCAGCCAUUUAAAGCCUUUCCAAGAUGGUUACAAAAGAAGCAUAAAUGGGACAUUCAAGUCCUUAAAUAGGCGUGUGACUAAUCAUGGAAAAGGAGUAUCAUGAGCUGAUUACAUUAAGUCAUUUUAUUCCUAGUUAAUUGUAUUUUAUUACUAGUUUUAUUGUGUUUAAUUAGGCCUUACUGUUUUUCGGCCAUAUAUGCAUGUAAUUUGAUCAUUUGCAAUUCAUUCAAUAAACAAGAACAUUCCAGUCCAAUUAGAAAUUGUGUCUACAAUUUUCGCCUGAUUAUUUGCAAGCGUCGUCUUGAAAAUAGUCCGAUUAGCUCAAUUGGUGUUGAGUGCUAAUCUCGUGUUAGGCUAUUGGUGUAGUUUAACAUUGCUUAUUUCCUUGCUGUUUUCACUAAAACCCAACAAACAAACACCUAAAACACUUAAUAGAAUUCGACUAAUAAGGGUGGUACCUAGUACCUUCGUUAUUGGUUGUUUGCUUCCGUUACCACACCCUGAUUCGUAUCA